rnacentral:rRNA from 1 species
CCCGCUGAACUUAAGCAUAUCAAUAAGCGGAGGAAAAGAAACUAACAAGGAUUCCCCUAGUAACUGCGAGUGAAGCGGGAAAAGCUCAAAUUUAAAAUCUGACGGUCUUUGGCCGUUCGAGUUGUAAUCUAGAGAAGUGAUGCCCGCGCUGGACCGUGUACAAGUCUCCUGGGAUGGAGCGUCAUAGAGGGUGAGAAUCCCGUCUUUGACACGGACAACCGGUGCUUUUGUGAUGCGCUCUCGAAGAGUCGAGUUGUUUGGGAAUGCAGCUCAAAAUGGGUGGUAAAUUCCAUCUAAAGCUAAAUAUUGGCGAGAGACCGAUAGCGAACAAGUACCGUGAGGGAAAGAUGAAAAGCACUUUGGAAAGAGAGUUAAACAGUACGUGAAAUUGUUGAAAGGGAAACGUUUGAAGUCAGUCGCGUCGGCCGAGACUCAACCUUGCUUCUGCUCGGUGCACUUCUCGGUUGACGGGUCAGCAUCAAUUUUGACCGCCGGAUAAAGGUCGGGGGAAUGUGGCAUCCUUCGGGAUGUGUUAUAGACCUCGAUUCGGAUACGGCGAUUGGGAUUGAGGAACUCGGCGCUUUGCGUCCAGGAUGCUGGCAUAAUGGCUUUAAGCGACCCGUCUUGAAACACGG